rnacentral:rRNA from 1 species
CCUACGGGUGGCUGCAGUGGGGCAUAUUGGACAAUGGGCGAAAGCCUGAUCCAGCCAUGCCGCGUGUGUGAAGAAGGCCUUCGGGUUGUAAAGCACUUUCAGUGGGGAAGAAAGCCUUGGGGCUAAUACCCUCGAGGAAGGACAUCACCCACAGAAGAAGCACCGGCUAACUCCGUGCCAGCAGCCGCGGUAAUACGGAGGGUGCGAGCGUUAAUCGGAAUUACUGGGCGUAAAGCGCGCGUAGGCGGUCUGAUAAGCCGGUUGUGAAAGCCCCGGGCUCAACCUGGGAACGGCAUCCGGAACUGUCAGGCUAGAGUGCAGGAGAGGAAGGUAGAAUUCCCGGUGUAGCGGUGAAAUGCGUAGAGAUCGGGAGGAAUACCAGUGGCGAAGGCGGCCUUCUGGACUGACACUGACGCUGAGGUGCGAAAGCGUGGGUAGCAAACAGGAUUAGAUACCCCAGUAGUC